rnacentral:rRNA from 1 species
UGCGUAGGCGGACUAAUAAGUCAGUGGUGAAAUCUUUCGGCUCAACCGAGAAACUGCCAUUGAUACUGUUAGUCUUGAGUUCGGUUGAGGUAGGCGGAAUGUGUAAUGUAGCGGUGAAAUGCUUAGAUAUUACACAGAACACCAAUUGCGUAGGCAGCUUACUAGACCGACACUGACGCUGAGGCACGAAAGCGUGGGGAGCAAACAGGAUUAGAUACCCUGGUAGUCC